rnacentral:rRNA from 1 species
UACGUAGGUGGCGAGCGUUGUCCGGAAUUACUGGGUGUAAAGGGCGUGUAGGCGGGAAGACAAGUCAGAUGUGAAAUUCCAGGGCUCAACCCUGGGGCUGCAUCUGAAACUGUUUUUCUUGAGUGUCGGAGAGGAAAGUGGAAUUCCUAGUGUAGCGGUGAAAUGCGUAGAGAUUAGGAGGAACACCAGUGGCGAAGGCGACUUUCUGGACGAUAACUGACGCUGAGGCGCGAAAGCGUGGGGAGCGAACAGG